rnacentral:rRNA from 1 species
AGCAGCCGCGGUAAUUCCAGCUCCAAUAGCGUAUAUUAAAGUUGCUGCAGUUAAAAAGCUCGUAGUUGAAUUUCGGGACCAUCAUGUCGGUCGUGCCUCGGUACGUACUGGUAUUGUUGGUUUCUCCCUUCUGACGAACCAUGAUGUCAUUUAUUUGGUGUCGUGGGGAAUCAGGACUGUUACUUUGAAAAAAUUAGAGUGUUUAAAGCAGGCUCACGCUUGAAUACAUUAGCACGGAAUAAUGAAAUAGGACGUUUGAUUCUAUUUUGUUGGUUUCUAGGAUCGACGUAAUGAUUAAUAGGGAUAGUUGGGGGCAUUAGUAUUCAAUUGUCAGAGGUGAAAUUCUUGGAUUUAUUGAAGACUAACUACUGCGAAAGCAUUUGCCAAGGAUGUUUUCAUUAAUCAAGAACGAAAGUUAGGGGAUCGAAGACGAUCAGAUACCGUCGUAGUCUUAACCAUAAACUAUGCCGACUAGGGAUCGGAUGAUGUUAAUUUUUUAAUGUACUCAUUCGGCGCCUUA